CUCUCCUGAUCCUUCACACGCACGCCUACCCAUCGAAGCCACCGCAUACCACGCCGCAAGUCGCCACCGCAGGUCACCUCAUGCCGCCGCCGCUCGCCCCUUUCUCUGUAGGUCGCCAACGCAACCCUGGGCCCCAGGAUCGUUCCCUCCUCCCCACCAAGCUUGAGGAGGCGGCCAUGAGGAGCGUGCAGCCGCCGCAAUCCUGGGCAGAUCUAGCCGGGGCCGUCGGCAGCCAUCCCUCCCUCCGGGCGGCCAUGAAGAAUUGAAGCAGCUUGCGCAGAACUAGCGCAUGGACCAUGCGCGCCUCCCGCGCUAGGAGCCACUGGUCCUCGUCAUCUGCUAACAUCCACGAGGAAUCGAUCCAUAUGGCCAUUGACGAGGAUGUGCGAGGUGGGCGACUACACAGGGCCCCCAAAAAUUAGGGGGCUUCAAAUCCUGUAUAUGUGUUCUUCAUCGCCAUGGAUCUGAGAAUGCCCGAACUGCUCGUUUUUGUUGGAGAAGAGAGGACAUGAAUAAGAGGGACCUGGGUUGUGGGCCCCUUUGGCGAAGGGGUAAGUGCCUACUGCAGGUCUGGUUCAACCAGCUGGACUUGUGCGACUCAGCCACUUCUUCAGGGAGCCACAAAAAACCAGUCAGUACACCUGAUCGAAAUACGAGAGGGGAAACCCCUAAAUGGAGGACGUGGUCAUGACUGAUGGCCGCACCGAUACGAGCGGCAUCCUUGGUUCCUCUGUGUGUCCUAGGGCGGCGAGGCCCAUGAUCGCGUCCAUGGAGCACUGUAGAAUCAUUGUUGUGCCUCUGCUAUCAUCCGUCGCCAGAACAAGCAGGCAUGUACGUUUCCCUUGCCUGACUUAUUCCCAUAGUCAAUAUUGAAGAGCAAACUCUAUUUGCAGGUGCCAACAAAGAGGAUUGACAAAUAAGAUAGUAGUCCAAACUUGCAAAAUACUUUUUUCAGAGAUCUAGUCCUAAUAAGACUCCAGGUGCAAGGCUAACUGUUAUUUCUUCAAGUGCGCUCUAACUAUUAUUUCUUCAAGUGCGCUCAUACAAGCUGAACAAGGAAUUCUCAAAUGUUUAAAGCAAUGGAUCCAAAGAUCUAGCUCGACUGGACUCUAGAUCACGGAUAGUUAGUCUUGGCCUUAAUUAGGAUGGCUAAAUUACAUUUGAGUAUCAUUUGAUGGAUAUUUGCUAUGAGAAUUAUGAAUUUUAUGAAUCUGUAUAUUAUACAUAUGGUUUUGAAUAUUGUAAUUGAAUGCCUAUAUUUCUUUUAUGGUUGCAA